AGCGGCGAACGGGUGAGUAACACGUGAGCAACCUGCCCCUGACUCCGGGAUAAGCGGUGGAAACGCCGUCUAAUACCGGAUAUGACCUGCCGCCUCAUGGUGGCGGGUGGAAAGUUUUAUCGGUCAGGGAUGGGCUCGCGGCCUAUCAGCUUGUUGGUGGGGUAAAGGCCUACCAAGGCGAUUACGGGUAGCCGGCCUGAGAGGGCGACCGGCCACACUGGGACUGAGACACGGCCCAGACUCCUGCGGGAGGCAGCAGUGGGGAAUAUUGCACAAUGGGCGAAAGCCUGAUGCAGCGACGCCGCGUGGGGGAUGACGGCCUUCGGGUUGUAAACCUCUUUUACCACCAACGCAGGCUCCGGGUUUUCUCGGGGUUGACGGUAGGUGGGGAAUAAGGACCGGCUAACUACGUGCCAGCAGCCGCGGUAAUACGUAGGGUCCGAGCGUUGUCCGGAAUUAUUGGGCGUAAAGAGCUCGUAGGCGGCAUGUCGCGUCUGCUGUGAAAGACCGGGGCUUAACUCCGGUUCUGCAGUGGAUACGGGCAUGCUAGAGGUAGGUAGGGGAGACUGGAAUUCCUGGUGUAGCGGUGAAAUGCGC
rnacentral:rRNA from 1 species